rnacentral:rRNA from 1 species
UACAGAGGUCUCAAGCGUUGUUCGGAUUCAUUGGGCGUAAAGGGCGCGUAGGCGGCGGGUAAGUCGGGUGUGAAAUCUCAGAGCUCAACUCUGAAAUGGCACUUGAUACUGCUCUGCUAGAGGACUGGAGAGGAGAUUGGAAUUCACGGUGUAGCAGUGAAAUGCGUAGAUAUCGUGAGGAACGACCGGUGGCGAAGGCGGAUCUCUGGACGAGUUCCGUGACGCUGAGGCGACGAAGGCCAGGGGAGACAAACGGG